CUGUUGCAUGUUCCAUUUGGGCUCCACAUGCUUUUCAAGAAAUUUGUGUUUAAAAUAUAAUCAUGUAUUUCUCAUUUCUUUGGGUAAAGAAUUAUCUUAUUUUCAUGAUUGAUAGGUAAAGAAAAUAAAUGUAAAUUUGCUGUAUAUGAUUCUCUUUUUAUAAUCCAAUGGAGGCUGUAAUGUUUCUUUUCUUUUUCUUUUUUUUUUUCGAAAUGGUGGGGGAUUGAGUCUAUUGUAUUACGCACUGAAGUAAUUGUCCAUCUAAAAAGAGGUCAUGUUUCUAGGUAGACACCCC
rnacentral:lncRNA from 1 species